GCCUUCGUCGUUCAAUGGAUAGGACAGAGGUUUCCUAAACCUUAAAUGGAGGUUCGAUUCCUCCCGAAGGCA
rnacentral:tRNA from 1 species